GAUGAAGAACGUAGCGAAAUGCGAUAAGUAAUGUGAAUUGCAGAAUUCAGUGAAUCAUCGAAUCUUUGAACGCACAUUGCGCCCCUUGGUAUUCCGGGGGGCAUGCCUGUUCGAGCGUCAUUAUAACCCCUCAAGCUCAGCUUGGUGUUGGGGCCUGCCAACUGGCAGCCCUUAAAAUCAGUGGCGGCGCCAUCUGGCUCUAAGCGUAGUAAUUUCUCUCGCUAUAGGGUCCCGGUGGAUGCUUGCCAACAACCCCCAAUUUUCUAUGGUUGACCUCGAAUCAGGUAGGGAUACCCGCUGAACUUAAGCAUAUCAAUAAGCGGAGGA
rnacentral:misc_RNA from 1 species